CUGAGCUAUGAUGAGGUUUUACCGCCCCAGUCUGAUGUCUAUGACUGAGUGGUACAUUUCUGAGCUUAU